rnacentral:rRNA from 1 species
GCGUACAAAAUUGUUUUGUGUUUUGGUGACCGUGAGUCGAUUUUUUUUUUCCCCACCCAAAAGAAUUCUGGCGAAAAUAAAAAAGUGGCCCAAGACGCCAGUCGUGGCGUGCGGCCCAAAAAAAAUGUUUUCGGAGCGUUAUAUGAGAAGGGGAGCAAAUUCCGACCGAGCCUAAAAGGGUGAGGACAACCCCGCCAGAGCACCCCUCUCAGUCUCAGAUCUGCCAGACUUCCCUUUGCGUGUCCCUUUGACCAGUUUUGCAGAACUCCGGCCUCGACAGCGGGGGGUUCAUAGGGGUAGUAGCCCUCCCCGAACCACCCGGUCCGGAGUAACAGCAUACUGGGAAAGCCUGAGUAGAUGCAGUCCGGGCUUACCUGGACCACUACCAGAUGGGUUCUGUGGAUGACUGGCCGCCGAUUAGACCUGAACCCUGAGCAACGGAAAGGUAACCUCUCGCCGCGGACACCGGAAUGGUAGAAGCGGCGUGUUGCGUCCUCCUCUUGGGGCCCCUAAGCCACACCUCCCACAGCGGGUUCGGUGCGGCGGACGGACGCCCUGGGGAAUUUAGAGGGGGAAAGCGGAUUGCCCUAGCGGUGUUGUUGGCCCUACCGGCCUCACUGCGAAAGGCGGGACUUCACCGUCGCCACCCAGUAACUUGUUUCUCCGGCGCUUCACGGCGCUGGUGGCCAACCCCGGCACACGAUAGUUACCUGGUUGAUUCUGCCAGUAGUCAUAUGCUUGUCUCAAAGAUUAAGCCAUGCAUCUCUAAGUAUAAGCAACUAACCCCUGAAACUCGGAAUCAAACCCCAAAAAAGUGGGGGUUUAAGGAAAAUAGAGGCCUUCUGAGUCUGAAGCAAUAAUUCAGACCCCAACCAAGGCCCCAGGCCUCAAAAGCAGGGGUUUGGGCUGAUACCGGCCUUUGGGUCUAACCUGAUC